rnacentral:misc_RNA from 1 species
GAGGGCAGUGUGCUGUCGGUUCUCGUGCGGUGCGGUGGGCUGGCUAGCCGGAGCUCUCGAGGCAGUCCAUGUGCGCCAACGCCAUGGCGAUCAACCUGAACCAGUUCCAGAUUCGCUAUCCGGACUUUCCGAAGUAUCUGUGGGAGUCGCCUACGCCCUACUCCGAUGCCAUGAAUAUCAAGAAGAGCCGUCGCAACCCGGAACACACGAAGCGUCCGCUCAACACAUUCAUGCUCUUCGCCAAGAUCCAGCGCGAGUACAUCACGGCGAACUUCAGCUGCAACCACUCUGAGAUCUCCAAGGCGCUGGGCCGCCUGUGGCAGGACCUCAGCAAGGACGAGAAGGAGCCGUUCAUGCGCGGCGCCAAGACUCUGGUGGAGCUGCACCGGCUCGAGUACCCCGACUACAAGUACCGGCCGCGCAAGAAGGGACAGCCCAAGGAGACGGUGGCCAAGACGACCGCCUCCCCUGCCGCCAAGAAGAACUCGUCGCGUCAGGAGCGUAAGCCGGUGGUGGCAGCCAGCUACAUGUCUCCGGCUAGCCCGCCGGGUCUGACCGCCGACCCGAGGUACCUGGGCGGCGGCGGCAGCCCGCUGUCGGCCGUGGCGGCGCCCGACAGUCCGCUGUCCUCGUGCUACGGCGGUGUGUCGCCGCUGUCGCCGGCCGGCUCGUCGCACUGCCAGGCCAGUCCGGCCAGCGUGCUACACACGCCCUACAGUCCGGUGCCGUCUAUCGGCUCCUCGAGCGGCUACGAGUCGGAGAUGUCCUCGGGCCUGGCGGCGCACGAGCUGUCGGCCGGCGCCGCCGAGGAGGCCGCCUUCUACGACAUUUCGCCGGCCGGCCACUGCCCCUUCUCGCCGGAGCCCGAGGCCGACAUGGACCUGGAACUGCGCGAGCUCGACGUGCAGCCGCUCGACGAGGAGUCGUCGCUGCUCAACCCGCUGGCCAUGUUCCCCGUACUGGACCUGUGCAGCGACGACCUCGACGACCUGGCCUUCGCCUUGUAGGCGGCGCCAGGCUCGGCCGCGCUGACGACGCUCCGGUACAAAUGGGUGUGCAUGAUUCUGGCUGUGGACUGUGUGGCUGGCGACCGGGCGGCGGCCGGGACUGAGGUCGCCGACCCGGUCUGAACGGGUCACUUGAUGGGACCUGAAACGGAUCUAGAAUGGCUGAAGUGGUCUCUUAACGGAAACGUUUUCUGUUAGCGUUGAGCGCUGACUUUUAGAGAUGUCUGUGGUCUGAAGUUGAAGACGAUCUUAUGUGUUAAGAGGACUGGGUUGUGGCUAGGGAUGGCCGUUUUAUGUUUUAAUCAAAAUUGAUUCUAAUGUGAGGUGAAGCAGGCCGAGUCUCCACAUCUGGCAGUUGCUUUCGGAUCGGUCUACUUGAAGAAGGGCCAGAUAAUGGUUGAUUUUAUUGUAUUGUUGAGGGCAGUUUCUUGAGGCAUUUUUGCUAGUCCUGUACGGUACUGUGUAGAAUCCGUAACGAUUUUGAUGGACUUAGCCGAGCUGCCAUUAAGUUGAUUAUGCGCGUUUUAUUUAUUUUCCAACUGAUCUCAGUUAUUUGAAGUUAGACGGAAGCGGUUAUCGUUGUCAAUGAAAGAUAAGGUUCGGCCCAAAUUUAUCAUUAGGUUAUACGAGGAAUGACAGAGAACACUUAUCAUAAAGUUAGGGCUAUAGAACUUAUUCAAACAUACUACCGUACUUUGGAGGUGCUCUGGUUUGUAACUUAUAAUUGACAGGACUUUUGGGGGAAUUUGGUAAGAAACAUUUAGGUAAGAUCGAUUAUUUUGCGUUGCCAGCCAGCUGCUGAAGGAUUGCUGUCGAAUUGAGGACAUUUGACGAAACUUGUAAUCUUCUAUCCACUCUGACGUGUCUGGGCUAGAUUUGAACGCCCAUUUUCAAGUAAUAGUGGGUAGUCUUUGAUAGCAUAGUUUGUGUGGUUCAGCUCGUGAAAUUCGUCUGUGUCAAUAGACGUAGGUUUUAGAGCGUGGACGAGCACUUUUGCGAGCACGAGUCACGUGACAGGAGGAGGCACAAAUUGAGUUAUUACCUCACAAUGAACAUGCCUGAGACAUUGACCAGAUGCCUAUAUUUUCCGGCCGUGGAGGCCGCGCUGGCAAUACGUGAGUUAGUGUUUGUCAAUUGUCAUCGAUAUAGUAGGGCCCGUAUCUUUCCGACGGGGCGUUAUUUUUACAUGCAUACCAUACCGUGGAGCUUCUCAUAACUCACUAGCAUUCAGAUGUGCCUACCACCGCCGGCGGCUGACGUGAAAACGGACGCAUGCUCGCAGGGGUGAAAGGUGCAAUCGACUCGGGGUAACACGCGCCAUGUUUGAAAUCCACAAUUGGAUCACAUCUCUGCCGCUGUCUGCGCACAGUGCGGUUGUUAAUUUCAGCUCAAAGAUCUCCUUAGGAUGGCCUCGGGCUGGCCCCGGACCGCGCCAGCGAGUGGUCACGUGCUCCGUGCGCGUGCGCACGUGCAGUUUGUUUGGCUCAGAGCGAGGCGCAGUGAACAGUUUGCUCAUUUGCCAUCGUUCGACGGGCAGUGUUUGGUUUAUGGUCGGACGGCUCGGCGAUUGGCCGAGGCCCACUGAACGCCCUUGUAAAUAUGUCAGCCAGCCGGGACGACUCGAUAAUGUGCUGCAUUUCGCUUGUGAUUGACGGUGUAUCUAGUCGAACUUCGUAAUUUUGUAUGAAGUGCGUGUGUUCAGAGCUGUAUCGUUUGUUACCAAUAUAUCACGCCUCCACAAA